CCUGCCCCUAGAGGCAUUGCAGGUGUGGCUGCUGUGUCACAUGUACAUCUGUAGGUGGCAGAGAGGAGAGAGACCAUGUCUAUGCUCAGUGUUCUGACUGUGAACAUUUGAAUGAUUAGUAGCCUACGAUU
ensembl:snoRNA LOC120101287 small nucleolar RNA SNORA17